CGGAGGAUCCAAGCGUUAUCCGGAAUCAUUGGGUUUAAAGGGUCCGUAGGCGGUUUGAUAAGUCAGUGGUGAAAGCCCAUCGCUCAACGAUGGAACGGCCAUUGAUACUGUCAGACUUGAAUUACUGGGAGGUAACUAGAAUAUGUAGUGUAGCGGUGAAAUGCUUAGAUAUUACAUGGAAUACCAAUUGCGAAGGCAGGUUACUACCAGUGGAUUGACGCUGAUGGACGAAAGCGUGGGGAGCGAACAGGAUUAGAUACCCUGGUAGUCCACGCCGUAAACGAUGGAUACUAGCUGUUCGGAGCAAUCUGAGUGGCUAAGCGAAAGUGAUAAGUAUCCCACCUGGGGAGUACGUUCGCAAGAAUG
rnacentral:rRNA from 1 species